CUUAAGCAUAUCAAUAAGCGGAGGAAAAGAAACCAACAGGGAUUGCCCUAGUAACGGCGAGUGAAGCGGCAACAGCUCAAAUUUGAAAUCUGGCGCAAGCCCGAGUUGUAAUUUGUAGAGGAUGCUUCUAGGUAGCGACCGGUCUAAGUUCCUUGGAACAGGACGUCAUAGAGGGUGAGAAUCCCGUAUGUGACCGGCCCGCACCUUCUACGUAGCUCCUUCGACGAGUCGAGUUGUUUGGGAAUGCAGCUCUAAAUGGGAGGUAAAUUUCUUCUAAAGCUAAAUACCGGCCAGAGACCGAUAGCGCACAAGUAGAGUGAUCGAAAGAUGAAAAGCACUUUGGAAAGAGAGUUAAAAAGCACGUGAAAUUGUUGAAAGGGAAGCGCUUACAACCAGACUUCUGGGCGGUGUUCCGCCGGUCUUCUGACCGGUCUACUCACCGUCCCGAGGCCAACAUCAUCUGGGACCGCCGGAUAAGACCUCAGGAAUGUAGCUCCCCUCGGGGAGUGUUAUAGCCUGUGGUGAUGCGGCGCGUCUCGGGUGAGGUCCGCGCUUCGGCAAGGAUGUUGGCGUAAUGGUUGUCAGCGGCCCGUCUUGAAACACGGACCAAGGAGUCUAACAUCUAUGCGAGUGUUCGGGUGUCAAACCCCUACGCGUAAUGAAAGUGAACGGAGGUGGGAAGGGUAACCUGCACCAUCGACCGAUCCUGAUGUCCUCGGAUGGAUUUGAGUAAGAGCAUAGCUGUUGGGACCCGAAAGAUGGUGAACUAUGCCUGAAUAGGGUGAAGCCAGAGGAAACUCUGGUGGAGGCUCGCAGCGGUUCUGACGUGCAAAUCGAUCGUCAAAUUUGGGUAUAGGGGCGAAAGACUAAUCGAACCAU
rnacentral:rRNA from 2 species